UACGGAGGGGGUUAGCGUUGUUCGGAAUGACUGGGCGUAAAGCGCGCGUAGGCGGUUCGGAAAGUCGGGGGUGAAAUCCCGGGGCUCAACCCCGGAAUGGCCUUCGAAACUCCCGGUCUUGAGUUCGAGAGAGGUGAGUGGAAUUCCGAGUGUAGAGGUGAAAUUCGUAGAUAUUCGGAGGAACACCAGUGGCGAAGGCGGCUCACUGGCUCGACACUGACGCUGAGGUGCGAAAGCGUGGGGAGCAAACAGG
rnacentral:rRNA from 1 species